UUUGCAUUGUGGUGGUGCGUAGAGUUUUUUUCUGACAUUUUCAUAUUUUUUUCUCUUUAAAAGAUCACAGAGAGGGCAAAGGUGGAAGCUGCCAGCCUUAGCAACAUCAAGGAGGAGCACAACCUUGAUCAGGAGACAAUACAGCAGUGGGUAUGGGAUGUCAGACAAUGGGCUGUCACAGAGAGAGUCUACACUCCAGGUUGUAUUGAAGAGCUAAGGGCUGACAUUGAGAACAUCACUGUAACCCUUUUGCGCAAGAAGCAAGAUCUGUAUCGUCAGCAUGAUAGCAACCAGGCAAGAC